GAUGAACGCUGGCGGCGUGCCUAAUACAUGCAAGUCGAGCGAACGGACGAGAAGCUUGCUUUUCUGAUGUUAGCGGCGGACGGGUGAGUAACACGUGGAUAACCGAUCUAUAAGACUGGCAUAACUUAGGGAAACCGGAGCUAAUACAGGAUAUUAUUUUGAACCGCAUGGUUCAAAAGUGAAAGACGGUCUUGCUGUCACUUAUACAUGGAUCCGCGCUGCAUUAGCUAGUUGGUAAGGUAACGGCUUACCAAGGCAACGAUGCAUAGCCGACCUGAGAGGAUGAUCAGCCACACUGGAACUGAGACACGGUCCAGACUCCUACGGGAGGCAGCAGUAGGGAAUCUUCCGCAAUGGGCGAAAGCCUGACGGAGCAACGCCGCGUGAGUGAUGAAGGUCUUCGGAUCGUAAAACUCUGUUAUUAGGGAAGAACAUAUGUGUAAUUAACUGUGCACAUCUUGACGGUACCUAAUCAGAAAGCCACGGCUAACUACGUG
rnacentral:rRNA from 1 species